AGAGUUUGAUCAUGGCUCAGAUUGAACGCUGGCGGCAGGCCUAACACAUGCAAGUCGAGCGGAAACGAGUUAUCUGAACCUUCGGGGAACGAUAACGGCGUCGAGCGGCGGACGGGUGAGUAAUGCCUAGGAAAUUGCCCUGAUGUGGGGGAUAACCAUUGGAAACGAUGGCUAAUACCGCAUGAUGCCUACGGGCCAAAGAGGGGGACCUUCGGGCCUCUCGCGUCAGGAUAUGCCUAGGUGGGAUUAGCUAGUUGGUGAGGUAAGGGCUCACCAAGGCGACGAUCCCUAGCUGGUCUGAGAGGAUGAUCAGCCACACUGGAACUGAGACACGGUCCAGACUCCUACGGGAGGCAGCAGUGGGGAAUAUUGCACAAUGGGCGCAAGCCUGAUGCAGCCAUGCCGCGUGUGUGAAGAAGGCCUUCGGGUUGUAAAGCACUUUCAGUCGUGAGGAAGGUAGUGUAGUUAAUAGCUGCAUUAUUUGACGUUAGCGACAGAAGAGCACCGGCUAACUCCGUGCCAGCAGCCGCGGUAAUACGGAGGGUGCGAGCGUUAAUCGGAAUUACUGGGCGUAAAGCGCAUGCAGGUGGUUUGUUAAGUCAGAUGUGAAAGCCCGGGGCUCAACCUCGCUCGUGUAUGAGAGGGUGGGGGGUUAGAAAUUUUUCAAGGUGUAUAGCGGUGAAAAUGCGUAAGAGAUUCUGAAAGGGAAAUUAUCCGGGUGAGCGAAGGGCCGGCCCCCUUGGACCAGAUACUGACACUCAGAUGCGAAAGCGUUGGGGAGCAAACAGGAUUUAGAUAACCCUGGUAGUCCACGCCCGUAAACGAUGUCUACUAGAAGCUGGAGUCCUCGGACGACUUUUUCAAAGCUAACGCAUUAAGUAGACCGCCUGGGGAGUACGGCCGCAAGGUUAAAACUCAAAUGAAUUGACGGGGGCCCGCACAAGCGGUGGAGCAUGUGGUUUAAUUCGAUGCAACGCGAAGAACCUUACCUACUCUUGACAUCCAGAGAACUUUCCAGAGAUGGAUUGGUGCCUUCGGGAACUCUGAGACAGGUGCUGCAUGGCUGUCGUCAGCUUGUGUUGUGAAAUGUUGGGUUAAGUCCCGCAACGAGCGCAACCCUUAUCCUUGUUUGCCAGCGAGUAAUGUCGGGAACUCCAGGGAGACUGCCGGUGAUAAACCGGAGGAAGGUGGGGACGACGUCAAGUCAUCAUGGCCCUUACGAGUAGGGCUACACACGUGCUACAAUGGCGCAUACAGAGGGCGGCCAACUUGCGAAAGUGAGCGAAUCCCAAAAAGUGCGUCGUAGUCCGGAUUGGAGUCUGCAACUCGACUCCAUGAAGUCGGAAUCGCUAGUAAUCGUGGAUCAGAAUGCCACGGUGAAUACGUUCCCGGGCCUUGUACACACCGCCCGUCACACCAUGGGAGUGGGCUGCAAAAGAAGUAGGUAGUUUAACCUUCGGGGGGACGCUUACCACUUUGUGGUUCAUGACUGGGGUGAAGUCGUAACAAGGUAGCCGUA
rnacentral:rRNA from 1 species